rnacentral:tRNA from 1 species
GGUACUGUGGCUCAAGUAGUGGUAGAGUGCUUGCCUGACAUGCAUGAGGCCCUGGGUUCGAUUCCUCAGCGCCA